rnacentral:rRNA from 1 species
GACGAACGCUGGCGGCGUGCUUAACACAUGCAAGUCGAACGGAAAGGCCCUGCUUUUGUGGGGUGCUCGAGUGGCGAACGGGUGAGUAACACGUGAGUAACCUGCCCUUGACUUUGGGAUAACUUCAGGAAACUGGGGCUAAUACCGGAUAGGAGCUCCUGCUGCAUGGUGGGGGUUGGAAAGUUUCGGCGGUUGGGGAUGGACUCGCGGCUUAUCAGCUUGUUGGUGGGGUAGUGGCUUACCAAGGCUUUGACGGGUAGCCGGCCUGAGAGGGUGACCGGCCACAUUAAGACUGAGAUACGGCCCAGACUCCUACGGGAGGCAGCAGUGGGGAAUAUUGCACAAUGGGCGGAAGCCUGAUGCAGCAACGCCGCGUGCGGGAUGACGGCCUUCGGGUUGUAAACCGCUUUCGCCUGUGACGAAGCGUGAGUGACGGUAAUGGGUAAAGAAGCACCGGCUAACUACGUG